rnacentral:rRNA from 1 species
AACGAACGCUGGCGGCAGGCCUAACACAUGCAAGUCGAGCGGACCUUUCGGGGUCAGCGGCGGACGGGUGAGUAACGCGUGGGAAUAUGCCCUUCUCUACGGAAUAGUCCUGGGAAACUGGGGGUAAUACCGUAUACGCCCUUUGGGGGAAAGAUUUAUCGGGGAAGGAUUAGCCCGCGUUGGAUUAGGUAGUUGGUGGGGUAAUGGCCUACCAAGCCGACGAUUCAUAGCUGGUUUGAGAGGAUGAUCAGCCACACUGGGACUGAGACACGGCCCAGACUCCUACGGGAGGCAGCAGUGGGGAAUCUUAGACAAUGGGGGCAACCCUGAUCUAGCCAUGCCGCGUGAGUGAUGAAGGCCUUAGGGUUGUAAAGCUCUUUCAGCUGGGAAGAUAAUGACGGUACCAGCAGAAGAAGCCCCGGCUAACUCCGUG